UUAAUUGAAGAGUUUGAUCAUGGCUCAGAUUGAACGCUGGCGGCAGGCCUAACACAUGCAAGUCGAGCGGUAACACAAGGGAGCUUGCUUCUGAGGUGACGAGCGGCGGACGGGUGAGUAAUGCCUAGGGAUCUGCCCAGUCGAGGGGGAUAACAGUUGGAAACGACUGCUAAUACCGCAUACGCCCUACGGGGGAAAGGAGGGGACCUUCGGGC
rnacentral:rRNA from 3 species